AGAGUUUGAUCAUGGCUCAGGAUGAACGCUGGCGGCGUGCUUAACACAUGCAAGUCGAACGAACCUUCGGGUUAGUGGCGGACGGGUGAGUAACGCGUGAGAAUCUGCCCUCAGGAGGGGGAUAACGGUUGGAAACGACCGCUAAUACCCCAUAUGCCUAUUGGUGAAAUGAAUUUCGCCUGAGGAUGAGCUCGCGUCUGAUUAGCUUGUUGGUGUGGUAAUGGCUCACCAAGGCUUCGAUCAGUAGCUGGUCUGAGAGGAUGAUCAGCCACACUGGGACUGAGACACGGCCCAGACUCCUACGGGAGGCAGCAGUGGGGAAUUUUCCGCAAUGGGCGAAAGCCUGACGGAGCAACGCCGCGUGAGGGACGAAGGCCUCUGGGCUGUAAACCUCUUUUCUCAAGGAAGAAGAUAUGACGGUACUUGAGGAAUAAGCCACGGCUAAUUCCGUGCCAGCAGCCGCGGUAAUACGGGAGUGGCAAGCGUUAUCCGGAAUUAUUGGGCGUAAAGCGUCCGCAGGCGGCUUUUCAAGUCUGCUGUUAAAGCGUGGAGCUUAACUCCAUCAUGGCAGUGGAAACUGAAAGGCUUGAGUAUGGUAGGGGCAGAGGGAAUUCCCGGUGUAGCGGUGAAAUGCGUAGAUAUCGGGAAGAACACCAGUGGCGAAGGCGCUCUGCUGGGCCAUUACUGACGCUCAUGGACGAAAGCCAGGGGAGCGAAAGGGAUUAGAUACCCCUGUAGUCCUGGCCGUAAACGAUGAACACUANGUGUCGGGGGAAUCGANCCCNUCGGUGUCGUAGCUAACGCGUUAAGUGUUCCGCCUGGGGAGUACGCACGCAAGUGUGAAACUCAAAGGAAUUGACGGGGGCC
rnacentral:rRNA from 1 species